CUCGUACUUUGCCGGACACUCGGGCUUGGCUGCCUUCUCCAGCCGCUUCACGCAGACGGUGCCUUCGAGCUGGUACCCGUCGUCACACUUCAGCGUCGGCUCUGCGAGCUGCGACAUCACACAUUCUUUCCCAUUGAAGUCGUGCCCAGCUGGACACACUGCGUUCGGCUGCAGCCGCACGACAUUUCGACAGAUGCCGCCAUCCAGGCGAUACCCGUGGGGGCAUCUUUGCUCCGGACGCACUGUCUCGACGCGGACGCACAUGCCGCUCUCGAGUUCAAAGCCUCGAGUGCACGCCACGUGUGGCGGGGAGCUUUCCAGAAUGAAGCACUUGUCACCUUGCUGCCGCGCGCCGGGUGGACAAACUGCCUCAGGCUUCUCCUUGAUGUCGCGCAGGCAGAGAUCCCCGCUCGACAGCUUGUAGCCGUCGUCGCAGUACUGCUGAGCCUUCGACUCCUGGGAACGCAUGCACGCCGCCCCAGUGAACGUGUAGUCCCGUGGACAGCUAGCCAAAGCCUUGAUGAACUCUUCCACUUCACACCGGUCGCCUACCAACAGCUCGUCCGCGCCGCAUGUCAACACGCUUUUCACUUCCUUCUCGGUUACGCACUCCCCGCCCUGCAUUGCAUGGAAAAGCGCCACAACGAGGAAAAUGUGACGGAAGAGGGAACGGCGCAACAUCUGGUUGUGCUACUAAUUUGUUCUGCGGUGUUACCGCUAACAAUUCCCCUCCAACAAGGUGCAUCUGUCGAUAUUGAAGUCCACCACUUUCAGCUAUCUUAAGCUUUCCAGUCGGUGGUGGUGUACGGUAAUCAUAAAGAAUGUGGUCGUCUGUAUCGUAUAGGGGGUCUGUUCGGUCUGACGUUGCGUUAUACUACUCUGAGGUUUGUGGUACUUCGAGAUCAGUGGUUGUGUCCCCUCCUCUGGAAUUCUGGUUCUAAGAGAACGACGCAGACGCCCUCGAGUACGAGAAGCCGUUCUCAUCAUGAGAGGGUACGACUUCAGCGCAUUCAGAAUUCUCCCUCGGCGUUCCCCAUACUACAUGAAGCAAUUCGUCUUUUUUCGCAUUUCCCUUGCCGACAACCAUGCUCUGCUGAGUGACAAAGAAAAUUGAGCUACGGGAGGUGCUGGAUAGAAGGAAACAACGAAGGCUGAUUAGUGAUAAUCACGGUACAUGAGGUGGCAUACCAGAAGAAAGCGUGCGGAAAUGUUUGCCUUCUUUGGAUUGUCAGUACACCUAAACUUUACAGUGACCUCUAAAGGACUAAGGAGCGAGACUUAUGUCUACGUAUACUAUUAAGCUGAUAAAAACGCAUCCACAAGGCACCGAACGUUGCCUAUAGGUGUGCUUCGACAUAAGUCAACCCCGCACUGAAGCGUGCGGGAUGGCUUGUACCAUUGUCUUGCCGCGUUCCUUCAGUUUCGAGCGCAGGCUCCGCUCUCUGGGUACCCGUCUUCACUCUCCCUCUCGUGGUUCAGGGUGUUUUUCGUUACCACGUAUCCACUGCAACCUGAUGCCGUCCUCACCUCGAAGGAUGCGCGAGGCGGACACAGCGUCAUGGGCCUCCUGGCAAUUUCCUUCUUACAAACUCCACCGUCGAGGUUGUAACCAGUAGGGCAUUCCUCCAAAGCGGCAGCCACAUCUUCAUUUCCUGCGAUGAGCGGAACGAUUUCUUGUGCACCAGCGUUCCACGCGUGAGGCGCUACCAGGCAAAGGCCAGCAGCGAACAAGGAAACGAGUUUCGAUCGACGGCGAGACGGGGCCAUUGUACGCAGCCGAAAAGGCAGAGUUGCCGAGAGACACAAAUGUAACCGGAGGAAACGAAGAAACGAGCGGCAGUUGACAAGGGGCACCCGCAGAACCAGUGGAUGGUUUAGGACGGGAGAUACACGAAAACGAAAGGGGAAGGGGAGGGAAUACAGUCGAAAAAUGUAGCGAAGGGGCAGUGAGUCUUAGUAAGGAUACUAAAAACUCAAAGCAAGAGCGGGCAAUUCUAGAGUGAUGUCGCAGGUACCUGUGUACAAAAAUAUAUGCGGGUACGUGUUCAAGGACGACUUUCGCGUCCUGAAGAGUUCUCCUCUGACAGAGAGAGCUGUUUUUGACAAAGGGAGCCUCUGAGGAUAGCUGGCCGCGCACGGAGACCAGAAACCUGAGCGAGGAGAAGGCAGUACGAAGAAGUUGACAAAAACUCUAAAGGGAAAGUGACCUUUCUGCCGCUUCGCAAAAGAACAAAUGUGAAGCUUACAAUGUCAACGGUUCCUCAUGAGGCAGAUCGGCCGCCUGUCAGUUGUCGCUGCCCCCGAAAAACCCUCG
rnacentral:lncRNA from 1 species